rnacentral:rRNA from 1 species
AGAAUCAACGCUGGCGGCGUGCCUAACACAUGCAAGUCGAACGCGAGAGUCCCGCAAGGGACAAUUGAGUGGCAAACGGGUGAGUAACACGUGGGUGGCCUGCCUUCGAGUGGGGGAUAACGUUCCGAAAGGAACGCUAAUACCGCAUGACAUCCUGCUCUUGGAAGAGCGGAGAUCAAAGCUGGGGAUCGCAAGACCUGGCGCUUGAAGAGGGGCCCGCGCCUGAUUAGCUAGUUGGUGGGUAACGGCCUACCAAGGCGACGAUCAGUA